rnacentral:rRNA from 1 species
AGUGAACGCUGGCGGUAGGCCUAACACAUGCAAGUCAAACGGCAGCACAGUAAGAGCUUGCUCUUACGGGUGGCGAGUGGCGGACGGGUGAGGAAUACAUCGGAAUCUACUUUUUCGUGGGGGAUAACGUAGGGAAACUUACGCUAAUACCGCAUACGACCUACGGGUGAAAGCAGGGGAUCUUCGGACCUUGCGCGAUUGAAUGAGCCGAUGUCGGAUUAGCUAGUUGGCGGGGUAAAGGCCCACCAAGGCGACGAUCCGUAGCUGGUCUGAGAGGAUGAUCAGCCACACUGGAACUGAGACACGGUCCAGACUCCUACGGGAGGCAGCAGUGGGGAAUAUUGGACAAAGGGCGCAAGCCUGAUCCAGCCAUACCGCGUGGGUGAAGAAGGCCUUCGGGUUGUAAAGCCCUUUUGUUGGGAAAGAAAAGCAGCAGGUUAAUACCCCGCUGUUCUGACGGUACCCAAAGAAUAAGCACCGGCUAACUUCGUG